GUAGGGUCCAAGCGUUAAUCGGAAUUACUGGGCGUAAAGCGUGCGCAGGCGGUUGUGCAAGACCGAUGUGAAAUCCCCGGGCUUAACCUGGGAAUUGCAUUGGUGACUGCACGGCUAGAGUGUGUCAGAGGGGGUAGAAUUCCACGUGUAGCAGUGAAAUGCGUAGAGAUGUGGAGGAAUACCGAUGGCGAAGGCAGCCCCCUGGGAUAACACUGACGCUCAUGCACGAAAGCGUGGGGGGAGCAAACAGGAUUAGAUACCCUGGUAGUCCACGCCCCUAAACGAUGUCAACUAGUUGUUGGGGAUUCAUUUCCUUAGUAACGUAGCUAACGCGUGAAGUUGACCGCCUGGGAGUACGGUCGCAAGAUUA
rnacentral:rRNA from 1 species